UGGUGGAGUGAUUUGUCUGGUUAAUUCCGUUAACGAACGAGACCUCGACCUAUUAAAUAGUCCGGCGAACCUCUCGGGGUUCGGUAUUCCGGUACUUCUUAGAGGGACUAUUGGUUCUGAUCCGGUGGAAGUUCGAGGCAAUAACA
rnacentral:rRNA from 1 species